rnacentral:lncRNA from 1 species
AGCAGAAGUAAUCAGACACAAAAGAGUACAUAUUGUAUGAUGUCAUUUAUGUGAAGUUCAAGGACAUGAAAACUAGUCUAUGAUGGUAGUUGUAAAAGAUGUGAAGAAAUUACAGAGCCAGAGUGUAUCUGAUUUGCCAACUCAUAAAAUGCAGAAACUGGAGCUCAGGAGAAAGAUCAGAGCUGAAGAUGGUUAGGGAGUGAGUCAUUCUUAGCCAGGUGAGAGGUACAAUUGGUUAAUAAAUAUUUGUUGGCUGGAUGGAUGGAAAGAUGGAAGAAUGGAUAGACAGAAGCAGACUGAGUCUGAUUAUCAAAAGAAAUACAUCAGGUUUAACCAUAUAAAAUUGUUGAUAUUUGACCAUUUUUCAACCAGAAUGAAUAAGAAUAAAAUUGCCAUUUCAUAUGACUCAGUCUAAUGGAUAAAGAAAAAAAAAGGGUCAAAAGCAGGUCUUAGGAGCACUCCCUUAUUUAGAAAGAGGAAAAAAAGCCAGAGAAAGAACCGAUUGGGGGAAAGGCAAAAUAACAAUAAUAAUAAUAAGCACUCUUCACUUGGGAAAAUACAUUACCUUAAUUAAAAGCGCUUGCCUAAGGACACUGAUGGACAAUGUACAGAAAAUAACACAAAGUCAAAAUGUAUAUAAGAAGUAUUCACUAUCAAAUAAUCAGAAAAAUAAGUAUUAAAACCAGGGGAUACCAUUCCAAAGAUUUUUUUUAAAUAAUAGUACAUGUUUCUGGCAAGAGUUUAAGAAAACAUUCUUACACAUUUCUUUCAAAAAAUAUAAAUUCAUACAGGCUUUCUAGAGAGCAAUUUAUCUGUAUGUAUAAAAUAAAUUUUUCACAUCUUGUGAUUCAGUAAUUUCACUUCUAGUAACUUACUAUGUACACAGUAGAAACUGCAUGUACAGAUAUAUGUAGGAAGAUAUUUACUACAAGCUUAUUUAUAAUAUAAAGCAUAUUAAAAUAAUCUAAAUGACAAAUAACAGGGGCCUUUAGAAUGACAUUCUGUUAUUUUUUAAAGCCCUACUUUUAUAAGAAUAUUUAAUACCGUAGGGGAAAACUCACUAUAUAUUUAUAUAAUCCUCAAAAUAAUAUUUUGAAAUUGACCCCUUUUUGCAGAUCAGAAAAUACACACACACAAUUAAAAGACCAUCUGAAAGAAAAUAUACCAAAAUACACACACACACUAGGAUUACAGUAACAUUUUAUUUAACUUUCCAUUUCCUUUUUCUGUUUUUAAUAAGAGCAUGGAUUAUCCAAUUUUAAAACAAAUGAAACAUUAUUUAUUAGGAGAAAAAAAAAAAAACUAUUUCCCUCAAAUCGUCAGGCAGCAUACAAAAUAGUCCAAAGGGGGUUCAUACAUGCCACAGGCACAUCUCUUUAAAAAAUGCACACAGAUAGGUUAACCAUAAAGCAAAAGAAACUUAGGCUUUAGGACUCUUUCUAAGGCACACAGGCCUUCCUAAUACAGUAGGAGGGGUCCUAAGAGUGUUCCUACAUGGUCAUAUGUUUGCUUAAUUUUACAUAAAUAAGCUAUUUCAACAGCAAUUGGUUAAAACUGUUGUCUCCACCUCAAUUUCUCCUCUAUCACACUUUGCCUCACUUUCGGUGGCAUCAGAAUUGCCCUGGGCAUUCUUGGGUCUGGAUAAAAGGAAGUUGAGUUGGGGGUAUAGUUAGUUUGGAGUGUCACAGGACCUAUUAGGAAGGUUCCUGAUCAUUUCCAAGUAGAGUUAAGUUCUUGCUGGCUGUCCCAGGGUAGCUAGGCCUUCAGGAAUAUUCCUACCACCCCCUGUGCUGACCCACCCAGGCUCAUUUAACGAAGGUGCAAGGCUAGAAGACGAACAUGUCUUAGGAUCUUAGGCACCUCGGCGGGGGCCAAGCUCUGAAAGUAUGUGGGUUGGAGGACAAACAAGUUUUGAAACAUACAGAACCAGAAGCUAGUCGAUGGGGAGAAAACCUUCCAGUCACCAGAGGUGUAUUGGAAGCUUCAGCUCUCAUUGACAUCUAGUGCCAUUUUUCAGGAUGGGACUAUGGAGGUACUGAGGCAGAAAGUAAGCUGGUGACAGAUUUAGAUUGAGGAAGUGGUACUAGAAGCACAGCUUAGUGUCCAUGGGUUGCUUCUCUAAGGUUAGUCCACAGAUCUGGACAAAUUCCUUUUCUAAUCUGGGAAUUUCUCCCUGCCUUUUACCUCAGAAGCUCCUGCCCUUGGUAUAACAACACACUCUGAACCCCUAAGAGUCUGACCUAACUUCCUCUUUGUCUCAUUUCCUUCCUUUGAGAUCUUAAUCUUUGUGCCCCAAAGCCAGACGGGUGACCUGCAGGUAUCCGUCCUCACUGGCUUCUGGGUCUCAGGAAUUAGGCUUCACAGUCUUUCAACCCUGAUUCAACUUGUAUCAGCAACUGUCAUGUCAGCUCACAGGAAAUUCUCAACCUCUUGCUGUGGGCAUACAGACUUCCAUAAAAUAUUUAUGAUUUAUGUGUAUAGAGAUGUAUACCUGUCUCUUUCUAUGAAAGUCUUGAAGAAGCUGUGAAAUACAUACAUGAACCAAAAUCUUUAAAUCAAGUACAGGCAUUUCAGUUAGAGUUACAUUCAGCUGUGAAUUUUAGUUUACUGCUGCUCCACAUUCCUUAUGUAGGACUUUCUUCCACAGGUCAUAAGAUGGCUGCUAUAUCUCUCUACAUCACAGCUGCAUCCCAGGCAAAAAGAAAGAGGAAAAGGAAAACAGCAUCACAGGCUUCUGCUUUGACCUCUUUUUGCUCAGAACUGCAUGCUAUAGCCAACUUUAGACGUAAGGAAUUGAGGUUUUAACAGGGUCCAUUGCUGCUCUGAACAAAAUUACUAUUACUAAAUACUGUUAGUACUGUUGGUAAGUACUCCUAUUAGUCAGUACUAACAAAAUUGCUAUUAGUAAGAAAGGAAGGGGACACAGAGCAAGUAGGCAACUAACAGCAAGUGCCACACCAGGGAAAGUACAAACUAUGUAGGUGUUACCAAAGUCUAUAUGGUCUAAGAAACUUGUCCUUAUGUGUCAACAAAUAUUUAUAUAAUAUUAUAUGUAAAUCUGCUAAAAAUUAAAAGUCAAUAAUCUAGAUAAGUAUCUAUGGAACAGCUUAAGAGUUCCCCUUUUCUCCUUUAUAUAUCUACCUUCUGAAAAUUGUUCCUCCUUAACUUAAAUCAAUAAGAGAAUCUUAAUGACAAACUUGAGAAGUUUGACAACAUGUAUCGAGACUCAAGAAAAUGUUCAGGAGUUCCCAUUGUGGCUCAGGGGUAAUGAACCCUACUGGUUUCCAUGAAGACGCAGGUUUGAUCCCUAGCCUCACUCGGUGGGUUAAGGAUCUGGGAUUGAAUCCACAUCCUCAGAGACACUAUGUCAAGCGCUUAACCAACUGAGCCACAACAGGAAUUCCUACUCAGAGUCUAUUUGAAAUUCAAAUUUAACUGGGCAUCCAGUGUUGGAUGUGACAACCCUACCCAUAGUACUGCCCCCUGGGGAAUUGAUCCUAAGGAAAGAAUGAGAACGCAAAAGGAAGGGAAAGAGCCCUGCAGUGACAGAAUAGUGACAAACAGAAAACAUAAGCAAAGGUGCUCAAGAACAGUAAAUAAACUCUGGUCAUUCGAAUCUGUGGAACAGUACACAAGAAAAUAAAACCAUUAACUUAUUCUUAAAAUUAUAUAUGCUAGUUUUGUGUAUACUCUAAUUAAAACACUAAAAAUACAUGUAAAUAGUAGAAAGACCAAAAAGAAAGAAGGAAAGAAAAAAAAAAGGUUGUGUUUAUUAGGAAAGAUCUGAGAUUUCCUCUCCUUCUCAAUUUUUUUUUUAUUUGGCUUUUUAGGGCCACACCCGCCACAUAUGGAGGUUUCCAGGCUAGGGGUCGAAUCGGAGCUGUAGCCACUGGCCUACACCACAGCCACAGCAAUGCAGGAUCUGAGCCACGUCUGCAACCUACACCACAGGGCACAGCAACACCAGAUCCUUAACCCACUGAGCGAGGCCAGGGAUCAAACCCACAUCCUCAUGGAUACGAGUUGGAUUCGUUUCCACUGAGCCAUGAUGGGAGCUCCUCCUUCUCAACUUCUGAAAAGUCAUAAUCUUUCUACCACAUUCUGCUAAGAGAACACCGGUGGGUCAUGGUUAGGAACCCCGCUGGGCUGAUCCCAGCGGUCUGCAGAUGAGGGAAAUCAGGGUCACCCAGGAAGGUGCAGAACCCCCUGCCUUCCAGAUCAUGGCUUUGCUGAUUCUCACAGAACGCCUCACUAAAAAUGAGACCAAAGCGGGUAAAAGCAGAGAAAAUGAAUAAGAUUUUCGCAGCCAUGCAGCCUUUGCCACACAGCAAUGGCAUUAAACUCAACCAUGAGAAAGGUCAACUCCACUAUUACAGUUGAUAGGUAGGCAUAGAAGCUCAAAAUGACUUGCCAAGAAGAACACCUCCUCGCACAGCACAGAGAUUUGCAGAAUUAACACAGGUAAUACCUGAAUUCAUCGAAGAGGUUCUGGAUGGAAUGAGUAUCUCUGACUGUAUCUCUACGCACAGCCCGCACAUGCUGCUGCACAGGUAACUGUAACGCGAAACAAUGGAUGGUUUGCCUUCCUUUUUCAAGGACACACGCUGUAAGCUGUUGUCUCUUUUUUUUUUUUUUUUUUUGUCUUUUUAGCUAUUUCUUGGGCUGCUCCCGCUGCAUAUGGAGGUUUCCAGGCUAGGGGUCCAAUCGGAGCUGUAGCCACCGGCCUACACCAGAGCCACAGCAACGCGGGAUCCGAGCCGCUUCUGCAACCUACACCACAGCUCACGGCAACUCCGGAUGUCAACCCACUGAGCAAGGGCAGGGACCGAACCCGCAGCCUCAUGGUUCCUAGUCGGAUUCGUUAACCACUGCGCCACGACGGGAACUCCUGUAAGCUGUUUUCUUAAUGGUGACAGUGGAUGUGCACAAUCACACACACUUUCCACCCCGCUGUGCCUGUGGUCCAUGCACGACUCAAUGUCUGCACAGCAACCUGCUGGCCAGGACGGAGGAUUCGGGGAAGGGAAGGCUGUCAUGCUAAGCCAGCUCCCCCAAACACCCCCUUCCCUUAGGGGACCGCUCUAAAAUCAAGUCCAGCCUCUUAAUCAACAUCGGCUCACAGCAUCCCCCAGCUUAAGUCAUGCUUUCUCUUCCUCCCCCAUCUCUCUUCUGGGGGGAGCUUGGAAGGCCUUAGUGCUAUUGGGGGGAGAGACUGAUUCGGACAGAACCUGUAUGAGGCUGAAGGCUCAUUUCACCUCUGCCUGGAGAAGUGCUGACAUAGGAUGGCAGCCCCAUCCUAUGGCUCCUCCCCAGGUACCAGAUGCCUGGGGCCGUGGACACUGGGUUGUGUCCAUGGAUGUGGACGCAGAAGGGAAUGCUAAGGCUGGACUAAGAAAGGAAAGAAGACAAAAAGGUAAGAAGAAAUCUGGAGACUGGUGGUACCAAGAGCCUCUAGGAUCCUUUGGAAAGUAAAGGAUAAGAGAGAACUGGUGAGUCGUCUGGAAAAGUGAGAUAAAUUACACCCAAGCUGUGAUGGGAGGGUGGGGGGAGUAAUAUCCUUAAGAGUUUGUCAACAAAAUUUCAAUUAUAUUUUAGGCAGAUGUU